GAUGAACGCUGGCGGCGUGCCUAAUACAUGCAAGUCGAGCGAACAGACGAGGAGCUUGCUCCUCUGACGUUAGCGGCGGACGGGGGAGUAACACGUGGAUAACCUACCUAUAAGACUGGGAUAACUUCGGGAAACCGGAGCUAAUACCGGAUAAUAUAUUGAACCGCAUGGUUCAAUAGUGAAAGACGGUUUUGCUGUAACUUAUAGAUGGAUCCGCGCCGCAUUAGCUAGUUGGUAAGGUAACGGCUUACCAAGGCAACGAUGCGUAGCCGACCUGAGAGGGUGAUCGGCCACACUGGAACUGAGACACGGUCCAGACUCCUACGGGAGGCAGCAGUAGGGAAUCUUCCGCAAUGGGCGAAAGCCUGACGGAGCAACGCCGCGUGAGUGAUGAAGGUCUUCGGAUCGUAAAACUCUGUUAUUAGGGAAGAACAAAUGUGUAAGUAACUAUGCACGUCUUGACGGUACCUAAUCAGAAAGCCACGGCUAACUACGUG
rnacentral:rRNA from 1 species